AAUCUGCAUGCACCAAAUUUAAAAGAAUCAGAUGAAAAGUUACAUGAACAAAGUAAUGUAAAGCUAUUCUUUCAAAAUUAAAUUGUGAGAAAUCUAAUAAAAGAAUUUGGAAUGAUUCCAUAUUCAAGGACUUACUUGCACACCCAAACAAAAAUGACCCCAACUGAAGGAUCAAGUCAAAACAAACAUCUCUCCAGUAAAAGAUCAUUUUUCCAGUAAAUAAAAUCACGAGACAUAAAUAUAA